UCGGGAAUUUUGGGCAAUGGGGGAAACCCUGACCCAGCAACGCCGCGUGAAGGAUGAAGUAUUUCGGUAUGUAAACUUCGAAAGAAUAGGAAGAAUAAAUGACGGUACUAUUUAUAAGGUCCGGCUAACUACGUGCCAGCAGCCGCGGUAAUACGUAGGGACCAAGCGUUGUUCGGAAUUACUGGGCGUAAAGGGCGCGUAGGCGGCCCCAUAAGUCUCGUGUGAAAGCCCUCGGCUUAACUGAGGAUCUGCACGGGAUACUGUAGGGCUCGAGUUCGGGAGAGGAAAGCGGAAUUCCGGGUGUAGCGGUGAAAUGCGUAGAUAUCCGGAGGAACACCAGUGGCGAAGGCGGCUUUCUGGACCGACACUGACGCUGAGGCGCGAAAGCUAGGGGAGCAAACGGGAUUAGAUACCCACGUAGUCCCUGAGCGGGCUGGCAAGGCGCAU
rnacentral:rRNA from 1 species